rnacentral:rRNA from 1 species
GACGAACGCUGGCGGCGUGUUUAACACAUGCAAGUCGAGCGGUAAGGCCCUUCGGGGUACACGAGCGGCGAACGGGUGAGUAACACGUGGGUGACCUGCCUUUAGCUCUGGGAUAAGCCUGGGAAACUGGGUCUAAUACCGGAUAUGACCUCAUGACGCAUGUUGUGGGGUGGAAAGCCUUGUGCGGCUAGAGAUGGGCCCGCGGCCUAUCAGCUUGUUGGUGGGGUGAGGCCUACCAAGGCGACGACGGGUAGCCGGCCUGAGAGGGCGACCGGCCACACUGGGACUGAGACACGGCCCAGACUCCUACGGGAGGCAGCAGUGGGGAAUCUUGCGCAAUGGGCGAAAGCCUGACGCAGCGACGCCGCGUG